CAGCAGCCACGGUAAUACGUAGGUGGCAAGCGUUGUCCGGAAUUAUUGGGCGUAAAGGGCUCGCAGGCGGUUUCUUAAGUCUGAUGUGAAAGCCCCCGGCUCAACCGGGGAGGGUCAUUGGAAACUGGGAAACUUGAGUGCAGAAGAGGAGAGUGGAAUUCCACGUGUAGCGGUGAAAUGCGUAGAGAUGUGGAGGAACACCAGUGGCGAAGGCGACUCUCUGGUCUGUAACUGACGCUGAGGAGCGAAAGCGUGAGGAGCGAACAGGAUUAGAUACCCCCGUAGUCCCUGUCUCUUAUAC
rnacentral:rRNA from 1 species